AUACGUUUCUCGACAUCGGCCGCGGACGAUCCAUCUAUACGUGCUGCGUAGCGGAAUAUAUGAAUAUUAAAUCAUUAUAUGUAGGUACGUUCACCACCGGCUUGCCAGUUAUCCUUUUGGAGGAGUCGUUGAAAAAAGCUAGUAUACCCGACUUGCUGUAGCACUCUAGUGGUGCCAACUUUGCGAACGGGCGCCACUGAUUAUCAUAUAUACGUCUACGUGUAAGACGAUUCUAAACACGAAUAGAUAUAUACGACGACGAACGCACUUGAAACAAUGGUCACUGGCGAAAACAAG